rnacentral:rRNA from 1 species
GACGGAGGGGGCUAGCGUUGUUCGGAAUGACUGGGCGUAAAGAGCGCGUAGGCGGUUUUUUAAGUGAGGCGUGAAAGCCCUGGGCUUAACCCAGGAGGUGCGCUUCAUACUGAAAAGCUUGAGUACGAGAGAGGAAAGCGGAAUUCCUAGUGUAGAGGUGAAAUUCGUAGAUAUUAGGAAGAACACCAGUGGCGAAGGCGGCUUUCUGGCUCGUAACUGACGCUGAGGCGCGAAAGCGUGGGGAGCAAACAGGAUUAGAUACCCUGGUAGUCCACGCUGUAAACGAUGAGUGCUAGACGUUGGGGGGCAACCUUCAGUGUCGCAGCUAACGCAUUAAGCACUCCGCCUGGGGAGUACGGUCGCAAGAUUAAA